CACAAAAAAAUUUGCUCGUCUGUAAGGGCCUUAAGGCGUGCGUGAUCUCGUGAGGUAUUAACGACUGUAUAUAUAUGGUAAAUAUACGGUAUCGUUGUAUUAGUUGAAUGUAAUAGUUGAAUAUUGUAAAUGUAAUAACAAAAUCGUUUGCACUUUAUUCUUAAUUUCCACAGAUUUAAAUACAAUCACUUUUUUCGCUUGGUUUCUUUCCGGAAAGCAGAAUCAACGAACAUAUCGAUUUUGUUUUAUGAUCCCAACAAAACAUCCGGAG